GUGUCAGCCGCCGCGGUAAUACGUAGGUGGCGAGCGUUGUCCGGAAUUACUGGGUGUAAAGGGCGCGUAGGCGGGUAUGCAAGUCAGAUGUGAAACCCCGAGGCUCAACCUUGGGCUUGCAUCUGAAACUGUAUAUCUUGAGUGUUGGAGAGGGAAGUGGAAUUCCUAGUGUAGCGGUGAAAUGCGUAGAGAUUAGGAGGAACACCAGUGGCGAAGGCGACUUCCUGGCCAAUAACUGACGCUGAGGCGCGAAAGCGUGGGGAGCAAACAGGAUUAGAUACCCUGGUAGUCCACGCCGUAAACGAUGGAUACUAGGUGUAGGUGAUGAAAAAUCAUCUGUGCCGAAGUUAACACAUUAAGUAUCCCACCUGGGGAGUACGGCCGCAAGGUUGAAACUCAAAUAAAUUGACGG
rnacentral:rRNA from 1 species